rnacentral:rRNA from 1 species
UUUCGUCGGGGAAGAAAUGACUGUACCCGAAUAAGAAGGUCCGGCUAACUUCGUGCCAGCAGCCGCGGUAAUACGAAGGGACCUAGCGUAGUUCGGAAUUACUGGGCUUAAAGAGUUCGUAGGUGGUUGAAAAAGUUGGUGGUGAAAUCCCAGAGCUUAACUCUGGAACUGCCAUCAAAACUUUUCAGCUAGAGUAUGAUAGAGGAAAGCAGAAUUUCUAGUGUAGAGGUGAAAUUCGUAGAUAUUAGAAAGAAUACCAAUUGCGAAGGCAGCUUUCUGGAUCAUUACUGACACUGAGGAACGAAAGCAUGGGUAGCGAAGAGGAUUAGAUACCCUCGUAGUCCAUGCCGUAAACGAUGUGUGUUAGACGUUGGAAAUUAAUUUUCAGUGUCGCAGCGAAAGCGAUAAACACACCGCCUGGGGAGUACGACCGCAAGGUUAAAACUCAAAUGAAUUGACGGGGACCCGCACAAGUAGUGGAGCAUGUGGUUUAAUUCGAAGAUACGCGCAGAACCUUACCAACACUUGACAUGUUCGUCGCGACUCUAAGAGAUUAGAGUUUUCGGUUCGGCCGGACGAAACACAGGUGCUGCAUGGCUGUCGUCAGCUCGUGUCGUGAGAUGUUGGGUUAAGUCCCGCAACGAGCGCAACCCUCACUUUUAGUUGCCAUCAUUAAGUUGGGCACUCUGAAAGAACUGCCAGUGAUAAGCUGGAGGAAGGUGGGGAUGACGUCAAGUCCUCAUGGCCCUUACGUGUUGGGCUACACACGUGCUACAAUGGUAUCUACAACAGGAAGCAAGAUUGCGA